GGUGAAUGUUUCUUAGGCCUCCGAAGAAGGGGAGGUGGGAACCAGCGGCCAAAAUAAAGUGCAAACUAGACCGAUCUCUAAUCAGCCCGGCGGAACGAGCCAAGAACGGGCUUCGAAUCUUCGGAAAGAAUCUCUCCUAGUGGACGAAGUCCCUUCGGUUCUCCGAACUUCCGAGCUAAAUCAAAUAAGCUAAGAGUUCAAUCUCUCCACCGACACAUUCAAGCUCAUUCGAUGUCACGAGAAUCUCCGGGCCGAUCACUUUUUUGACAAGGUGGAUCAGGUAAUGGUUUACGAGGAACAAUUGAAGGUCGGGCUGCGGUUUCCUUGGGAGUAGUUUUACAAGGACAUUUUGAAGUACCAUUGCAUCUGCUUGGCUCAACUGCACCCGAACUCGUGGCGAACUCUCGUCGCAUUCCGGAGUUUGUGCCGAGCAAAAGGUCUAGAGCCCACAGUGAAGGUUUUUGCCGAACUACACCGCCUAGCCUAAAGGAAGAACGAUGAGUAUUGGCUCUUUCAAAUGAAGCCGAAC
rnacentral:misc_RNA from 1 species